rnacentral:lncRNA from 1 species
UUUUUUUUAAGACCAAGGGCAAAGCUGCCUCUUCAUUCAUUGAACUCGUAUUCAAAUAGGGUUUUCCCAAAGGAUACAAUGGGCUUCCCCUUUAAGUCACAUUACAUUGAAAAUUGAAAGCAAUUAAAUCAGAAAGUCUUUCAUCCAUCUAGGUUUAUUGAUAUGACGUUUGGGCCUGUUGAUGUUGUUGGGCCCUGGUGUAACAUUACCAUCCGCUGGCUGAGACACUUUGUCCUCAAAGUGAGUCUGAUAUUCUUGUUAGGUUAAGUGGAAUUGUUGGGCUGAUUGGUUGGGCUCGGCUGUUAUAGGAAUUUGGUGAAUGUGUGGGAGUGAAGGUUUGGACAUAGGUGUAGGUGUUGUUGGACUCGGGUUAGGGUUUUCUACGUUUGAGGUAUUAAGGGAAGUGGGUGAGGCACGGGGCUCGAGGGGGGAACUAAUGUGGUUUACGGUAGUUGAUGUGGGGACUUGAGAUAAAGGGUUAUUAUGAGGAGUGGGUGGGGCACGGGUUUUUAGGGGUGGGCCAGGGGCAUUUAAAAGAUUAUGUGUAGUGGCAUGCGCAGAGUUAUGAGUGAGGUUACGUGUAGUUGAGGCUUUCUGAAUAUUAGGUGAAGUGUGGGGCUCAAGAUUUGGGCUCUUUGACACAGCUGGGAUUAGAUGUGUUGGCGCAUUUUGAUUGGGCGGCAAGGGCGGUGUAGUCAGAGGGUCAGGUGUGGUUUGAAUUGUGGAACUUAAAGGGUUAGUCGAGUUAAUGUUCUUGCUGGAGUUUGAGUUUGGGUGUGGGGAGGGAUAUGGUGUUGGUCCUCUGAAAAGCCGGAGAAGUGAGACGUGGAAGACCGGAUGAAUGCGAGAGGAGGGAGGUAAUCUAAGCUCAUACGCAACGGUGCCUAUGCGGCGGCUUAUUUGGUAUGGUCCCGAGUAGCGAGGAGAUAGUUUUUGACAGGGACGACGUUCCACAGAUUGUUGGCGGUAUGGUUGGAGGCGAACCCAGACCCAAUCAUCUACGUUGAACGUGCGGUCCGAACGGUGCCGAUUUGCCUGGUCGCACAUGCGUUGGCGAGUUCUGCGGAGAUUAUGUUUGAGAGAGUGCAACACUAAGGUAUGCUGAUGUAGCAGAUCCGAGAUAGUGGUGCCAACGCGAGGCGUGUGCAACAAAUCCAAGAUGGUGGGAGGUGGACGACCGUAUAGAGCAUGGAAGGGAGAGGUGCCAAUAGCCGAGUGAUGAGUCGUAUUAUGCCAUAACUCUGCGAGGUGGAGGUAUUGGUACCAUGUGUGCGGGUGGUCCUCCGUGAAACAUCGCAGGUAAGCUUCGAGCCCUCUAUUUAAAACCUCAGUUUGCCCAUCCGUUUGUGGGUGAUAGGCAGAGCUAAAUUUUAAUACCCUGAGCUUUGAAUAGUUGUCUCCAGAACGUGCUAACAAAGAGUCGAUCUCGAUCUGAUACGACUGUUUUUGGCAUUCCAUGAAGGCGGAAGAUCUCCACAGCAAAGCGUCGUGCGAGUUGUUGCGCCGUGAAGUGGGUGGGAAGAGCCAGAAAAUGGGCGUACUUGGUGAGGCGGUCGCAGAUAACCCAAACUACCGUGUGACCCGCAGAGGAAGGUAAGUGAGUUAUGAAAUCCAUAGACAAAUCUUCCCAUACUUGUGCUGGUGUCGGUAGAGGUUGAAGUAACCCCUGACUUUUUUUUGGCAUGUAUUUAUUUCUUUGGCAAGUGACGCACUGUUGGAGAAAUUGUUUCACAUCCCGCGUCCAUCCUGGCCAAUAAAACGAGGCAGCAAUUCGGGCGAGGGUAGGCUUGAGGCUGGAAUGGCCAUUUAUGUGGGACUCAUGCAUUUCGUGGAGGAUCUGUUCUCUAAAUUUAUUGGACGCCGGAAGGAACAGUCGAUGUCGAAAGAACAACAUCCCAUUGCGAACUGAGAACAAAUUGGGUUGGGGUUGAUCGUGCGUGCACGAUUGAAUUAACUGGGCACCUUCCGAGGUUUUGAAGAACUGUUUUAACUCUUGAAAUAAGAGGGGAAUCGGUGAAGACAAAGCAAACAACAACGAAGGUGUUGGUGUUCCUUGGCGGGAUAGAGCAUCAACAACUACAUUUUGUGUUCCAGGUCGGUAUAAAAUUUGAAAAUCAUAUCCUUGUAAUUUUGCUAUCCAUUUCUGUUGUUCUGGUGUUUGAAUCGUCUGUGACAGUAAUGUAUGCAAGCUUUGUUGAUCUGUGAAAAUUUUGAAGUGUUGGCCUAGUAAGUACUGACGCCAUUUCUUUACUGCUUCUGUUAUUGCAUACAUCUCCCUUACGUACACGGAUGACGCUUGGAGUCGUGGACACAUCUUCUUGCUGAAGAAUGAAAGUGGGCGUUUGUUCUGGCUGAGCACUGCCCCCACUGCCACUGCAGACGCAUCGGUCUCCACUACAAAGGGCUGGCUGAAAUCUGGAAGGUGUAGUGUAGGAACCCUUGCAAUUUGUAAUUUCAAUUCGGUGAAAGCUGUAUCAGCGGUCACAGGCCAGAUAAAUUUCUGGUUAUGUAAUAAGUCGGUGAGAGGAGCGGUGAGAGUGGUGUAAUGUCGAACAAAUUUUCUAUAAAAGCCGGUGAGACCGAGGAAACCCGAGUUCCGUGAGUGAACGUGGCUGUGGCCAAUAAUGUAUGGCAGUGACUUUUUCUGGGUCCGGGGAAACACCACCAAGAGAAAUGAUAUGACCUAAGUAAUGAACUUGAGUGGUUGCAAAACUGCACUUGGUUAGCUUCACAGAGAAUUGCUUAGUGUCUAAGAGAUCCAGAAUAAUCUGUAAAUGAGUAAUAUGAUCUUGUAAUGUAGGACUAUAAAUUAAAAUAUCAUAAAAAAAAAACUAGGACAAACCGCCUUAAAUAUGGUCGAAGAAGAUCAUUCAUAGCAGCUUGGAAUGUAGAGGGUGCAUUAGUCAAGCCGAAUGGCAUGACUAAAAAUUCGUAAUGUCCAUCAGUGGUCCUAAAAGCUGUCUUAUGGGUGUCCUUUGGGGUGACUCUUAUUUGGUGAUACCCUGCGUAUAAAUCCAGCUUAGUGAAUACUGUAGCUGAACCUAAUUCAUCUAGCAAUUCAUCGAUGGUUGGUAUUGGGAAGCGGUCACGGAUGGUGGCUGCAUUUAAGGCUCUGUAGUCAACACAAAAACGCCAACUACCAUCUUUCUUUUUUAUAAGGAGGACAGGGGAUGAAAAAGGGUUGUUGCUAGGUUUGAUGAAACCAUCUUGCAACAUUUCCUUAAUGAGAGUAGUGAUAGUUUCCUUCUAGGAGUGUGGGUAGCGAUAUGGUUUAACAUUGAUAGGAGGUGUGUGUGGGAGGAGGGGAAUUUGAUGGUCAUGUAACCUCGAUGGGGGUAGCCCGUGGGGUAUUUGAAAAAUUGAGUGAUGUUGGAGGAGAAUGGCUUGGAUGGGAAAAGGUAAGGAGUAUAAUGGGGAAGAGGGAUUUUGUAGGUUGCUUUCUAGCUGGCUUGGGGAUGAUGAUGGGCUAUCAAUUGAUAAGAGGUGGAGAGAUGCAAUGGAGUUAGUAGAGAGAUAUUGACAAAACUGAUGGUAGGUUGUUCUGGUGGGUGUAGAAGUGGUUGUCGCUUGUAGAGUGAUGGGUUGGUUUUGGUAGGUGAAGGCAAUGCUGGAGAUGGAAAAAUCUGCCUUAAUAGGUCCUAAGGUACGCAACCAGUCAAUACCCAAUACUACAUCAGCUCCUUCAAUGGGUAAGAGGUAAAAGGGAAUUGUAAAAGUUGAUGUUUGGAGGGAAAUGUCGACGGAAGGACAAAUGCCUUGGCAUUGGAUAAAGGCACCAUUUCCGACUAUCACUGACAGUGGGGGACUAGGUUGAAUGGGUAGGUGAAGGUGGUGAGCAAUACGCGGCUAAAAUAUAUUAUGGGAGCUGCCAGAGUCAACCAGAACGGUGAUAGGAAGGUUGUGAAUCAUUCCAGUAAAUUUCAGGGUUUGGGGCGAUGGAUUACCAGAUAGAGCCAGUGGUGAUAAAUGAAAAUGUAUGGUCUCUAGGUACUCUAUAGUGGUGGAUGGUUCUUCCACAGGAUCCAGGGGUGGGUCAAGAUCAUCCAAGAGCAGCAAGAAUCGAGACGGUGUGCAUUUGUGUCCUGGGAUAUACUUCUCGUCACAGUUAUAACAUAAUCCCUGUGCAUGACGCUCUUGUAGUUGAGUUAGGGUGAGUCGUUUAAUGGGUAGGGUAGUCUGUGAUUGGUGGUUUGGAGUGGUUCUUGUGGGUGGUGACUGGGAAGAAGUAUGGAUGGUGUUGUGGUUCUGAACUUGAAAAGGGCGUGGGAUUCUAGGUUUGGAAUCACGGUAUUUGUCUUCAAUGAGUUUAGCGAGACCAAUUGCUUGAGAGAUGGAGUAUGGAUUCAGAAUGGAAAAUUCUCUACGAAUAUCUGGGUGGAGACCCGAGAUAAAACAAUUGAGAAUAAUAUCUGGAGUGAGACCGACUAUGCAGUUACAGAGUUUUUCAAACCGAGUUUGGUAUUCUGUUACCGUGGUUACCUGUUGUAGUUUGAAGAGCGAUGCUUGAUGGUUGGUGUAUGUUGAAGGCCCAAAGCGGAGCUCCAGGGCACGGGUGAAUGAUACCCAGUCGGUGACCAGGUUGUUCUGGUGUAACCAUUUAAACCAGCUGAGUGCUUCGCCUUUCAUGUGAAAAGCGACCAUCGAUAGUCUUUGUGCAGGGGGAAUCUGGUAAAAUGAAAAAUAUUGUUCAGCUUGGAAAAGCCAGUCCAGGGGAUCAGAGCCCUCAAAGAAAGCCAACUGCAACUUAGGUGGUCUAAUAUUAGAAGGGUUUGGUGGAUUGUAUUGUGGAUGAGGGUUAGGGUUUGGCAUGGUUUGUGGAGCAGGGAUCUGAGGGUUAUUGGGGAUGGGUGUUGUAGCUGCUGGAACAAAAGGGGUUUCUGCAGAGGAGGAACUUUGGUGGUUAUGUGGAGGUAUCGUAUGAUCUAAGAGAAGGGUAAGGGUGGACUGGAUGGAGUCGUUUCUGGCUUCCAUGGUGGCGUGACGGGUUUGUUGUUCAUCCAUCUGGAAUUGAAGGGCAGAGAGACGUUCCUGGAUGGAAUUGAGUAUGUCUUCUAGGUCUUUGGCUUGGAGUUUGGGAGCCAUGAGAAUCAAUGAAAGCACCAAUGUUAGGUUUUCGCUACAGUAAUACUAAGAACUAAGAACUACGAGAGAAAAAAAUUUUAAGACCAAGGGCAAAGCUGCCUCUUCAUUCAUUGAACUCGUAUUCAAAUAGGGUUUUCCCAAAGGAUACAAUGGGCUUCCCCUUAAAGUCACAUUACAUUGAAAAUUGAAAGCAAUUAAAUUGAACAUUCAUUAGGCCAUUAAAUCAGAAAGUCUUUCAUCCAUCUAGGUUUAUUGAUAUGACAUUUGGGCCUGUUGAUGUUGUUGGGCACUGGUGUAACACUGUCAUAACUGAGUCAUAUCUUGUAAUACAGUUUUAGCUUACACAAUUCACAGGCAUAUCUAUUCCUGGUUUAGAACCAAUUUUAACUAAAGGUUAUCUACAAGAGAAGGAACCUGAAAAAGUAGUUGUUGUAGCUUGUAUACAAAUAACUUUACUCAUGACUUGCAGAAUUUUUGUGCUGGAAAAGUCUGAAAAUUUAUGUCUUGUAAGAAAAAUAAAUUAAUAAAGUUUACGAAUUAUGUCACAUUUUUUAUGGGAUGAAGAAUAGAAAUACACUCUCUAACCUAUUUUUCAUGAUUGAUUAAAAUUUACUCUCUGCAUCCCAUGAUAAC